AAAGAGGGGACCCCAGGGAGCCCGGACCGGAAGGCACCGGCGAUGCUGGCCUGGGGCGCGCGAGCCCCGACGCUGGAGCGCAGGGGGAGGGGCAGAGCCGGGUAGGCGGCUGCGGGGAUCCCGGGCCGGGGGAGCCGCCUGCCGCAGAUGCGCGGCGUCCUCGGAACCGCGUGAAUUCCGCCCGCACCUGCUGAACGCAGAGCUGGACCUCGAGGCCUGAAGGAGCCCCCAGAGCGACGCUCCCGCCCUCCCCCCGCUGGACCCCCAGGACGCAUGGCCCUUCGCAGCUCUGGGAAGCCGGACAGCGGGUGUCACUUGGGACCCUCCCCGUCCUGGCUCCCUUCCCAGCACAGCCUCCCCACGACCUCCUGCCCCUCCUGCCCGCUGGGCCACCAGGAGAACCGGCCCUGCGACGACCUUGGACCCCCCCAGGCCCAGGUGCAGGUCUGGCUUAAGUUUCCUCAGAAGUGCCAGGAGCUUUAAAGGGCGUCUUUCCUCUCCCUCGGCCC
rnacentral:lncRNA from 1 species